rnacentral:lncRNA from 1 species
GCGCAGAUCCGGAAGUCGCUGGGCUGGCCGGACGGGCGCGGCUCGGUCGGCGAGCGUAGUCCCUGGCUGGCAACUUGUCUGUCCUUCCCUGACCCUGGAAGGUAUUUCGGUGCUUGCCUUGGACGGCCCCAAGAGCAGACCUGGGUCCCACCUGGAUCAACAGCCUUACCUCGUCCAGAAUUCACCACCAUAAAUCAAACCAUGGAUUCCCUGUGCUUCUCGGAGCCCUCCCGCUGCUGCUCCCAUGCGCGUGGGUGGGUCAGCACAGUGCGGACCUGCCUGGACCAGUGUGCUUUCUGGCCCCACUGCAAGAGAGCGCGUGGGGCUCACCCCACCAUGCCAGCUCCUCCUCAGGUUCUGUUUACCACUGAAGAAAAAGAGCACAUUCUCCUGAGAAUGGAGUCCGCACCAACCUGCCUAAUGAGAUUAAUGCUGGGUUCCCUCUAGACCAGCCAGAUUGGAACUAUAACACGGCUCAAGCCCUAGAAGUGAUCAGAAACACUGCCUGGAGCAGCUCAAGGAGGCCUACAAACCAGGAGAUUUAAUGGUACCACACCAGUUUCAGGUGGGAGAUGCAGUUCUCAUCCGACGACACCAAGCUGGGAAUCUAGAACCUCGUUAGAAAGGCCUUUACAUCAUGCUGCUGACCACCCCCACUGCUGUCAAAGUAGAAGGCAUCUCUGCUUAGAUUCAUGCCUCUCACGUAAAGCGAGCUCCUGAAGAAUAAAUCCCCUUGGUUGACCACUCUCAUUUUGAAAGAUCCUGACAGAAUGUAAAAGGUCACAGAAGCCCUGCAAUUGGCAAAAUAGAUUUUAUUGUUAGUAGAACUAGCUUCACUGAUUUAGAAAAAUAGAGGUGCACAAUGCUUUGGCCGCUCCUCAAACCUGUGUGUCUGCCAAUGUUCUGACCAUUUCUUGAACCCAGGUGUGUGACCACUGCUGCACCUCACUGCCAAGUGUUUGUGAUAUUGGUUGCUAUAUUGGUUGCUGGGAAAGAGUUGGAAAAUCUCCCCAUCAACCACAGUCGGGGCCAAUCCGGAGAUGUUGCACCUUCAUUAGACUCCUUCCUUGUUUCCCUCCAAUACCCGUUUCUUGAGGAAUCAAUCAUUUUAGAAUAGAUAUUGUUUAGAUCUGGAAAUCCCCUACUCCCCCCUUCUCCUUUCCCCUUAAUGAUUUAUAAAAAUUGGGACCCCUUUUCCCUCAGGGUCGACUCCUCUACCCCUGCGUGGGAUACGAGUCAUCACCAGAGUGCUGGCUUUCCCUGAAUAAAGCCUCAUGUGAUUUGCAUCAA